AUUGAACGCUGGCGGCAGGCCUAACACAUGCAAGUCGAGCGGAGCGGCGGACGCGUGAGUAAUGCCUAGGAAUCUGCCUGGUAGUGGUGGAUAACGUCCGGAAACGGUCGCUAAUACCGCAUACUAUCAGAUGAGCCUCGGUCGGAUUAGCUAGUUGGUGGGGUAAAGGCCGACCAAGGCGACGAUCCGUAACUGGUCUGAGAGGAGGAUCAGUCACACGGGAACUGAGACACGGUCCAGACUCCUACGGGAGGCAGCAGUGGGGAAUAUUGGACAAUGGGCGAAAGCCUGAUCCAGCCAUGCCGCGUGUGUGAAGAAGGUCUUCGGAUUGUAAAGCACUUUAAGUUGGGAGGCGUUACCAACAGAAGAAGCACCGGCUAACUUCGUGCCAGCAGCCGCGGUAAUUC
rnacentral:rRNA from 1 species